rnacentral:lncRNA from 1 species
AGCAGAUUUCACUUUCUGAACUUAAGUAUACUCCCUGCAGCCAGAGCAGACUGCAUCCAGACGCUGGCAUAAGGAACUCCUGUCUUGGACAAAAUAAACACCAGUGCAACAACACAAAAAAGGUUUUUUUUUUUUUUUUAGUCUGAUAGAGAAGGUGAAAUCACUGUGACAAGUAUAUGUAAUGAUCCAUACAGAUUAGAAGAGAGAAUAUGCUUCUAGGUCUCCUUGGCCUUACACCAGGAAAGGUUAUUGUCACCUUUCAGGAAGCUGGCAGGAUGCAUCAUGCAAACGGGGAAUAGGAUCACAAGGGGCCCAGAUUACAG